CUCCUCAGCAUGGACUCUAUGAUCAAAGAGAGCAUCCAGAAAGCUGUGAUCCAGCUGGAAGACAAGAGAGACAACAGUAAGCGUGCCACUAAGAGAAUCAUGAUCAUUCACAACUUGCUUUUCCAGGAUCAUAGUAGAACCACACUGUCAAGUCAUUUCAUGAGUGUGCUGAAAAGGAGAAUUUGCUACCUUCUACAAGAACGUGAGAAAAUAAGCCUUGAGCCAAGGGAGUGGGUGUUCCGCAGAGCUGUCUCCAGUGAAUUUAUCCUUGAAGACACUUCAUUCAGGCAUGCACUUUGGAUGCAUUUAGAAGACAUUGUGGCGAACCUGUUUGCUCAAAUUCUCGCAGUGGUGGAUGCUAACAACAACCUGGAUCAUCUCUCUCCACUGUCUCCACUCUCAGAACUGUGGCUUCAGAUGUUCAAAGAAGAAUCAUUCUUGAGAAUUAAAUAUACCAGCAACAGAACAUAUACCAGUGACAGUCAGAAAAUUCUCUGUGAUGCUUCAGUUCAAUACUCAUA
rnacentral:lncRNA from 1 species